CCUCGAGUUGUAGGCUUUGCCUGCUAUCUCUUACCCAUGUCUUUUGAGUACCUUCGUUUCCUCGGCGGGUCCGCCCGCCGAUUGGACAAUUUAAACCAUUUGCAGUUGCAAUCAGCGUCUGAAAAAACUUAAUAGUUA
rnacentral:misc_RNA from 1 species